rnacentral:tRNA from 2 species
GUGGGUAUAGUUCAAUGGUAGAACAGCUGUAUGUGGAAUAGUAUAUCCUAGUUCGAUUCUAGGUACCCUCC